rnacentral:tRNA from 1 species
GGAGAGGUGCUCGAGUGGUUGAAGAGGUACGCCUGGAAAGCGUAUAUAGGCUGUAAGGUCUAUCAGGGGUUCGAAUCCCCUCCUCUCCGCCA